rnacentral:rRNA from 1 species
UUGGAGGGCAAGUCUGGUGCCAGCAGCCGCGGUAAUUCCAGCUCCAAUAGCGUAUAUUAAAGUUGUUGCAGUUAAAAAGCUCGUAGUUGAACUUCGGGGUUUACUCAUUGGUCAGGCUUAAUUGUCUGCACUGGUGAGAUGAAUCUCUACCUUCUGAGGAACUUUCAUGCCAUUUAUUUGGUGUGAUGGGAGAUCAGGACUGUUACUUUGAAAAAAUUAGAGUGUUUAAAGCAGGCUAACGUCUGAAUACAUUAGCAUGGAAUAAUGAAAUAGGACGGACUGAUUCUAUUUCGUUGGUUUCUAGGAUCACCGUAAUGAUUAAUAGGGAUAGUUGGGGGCAUUAGUAUUCAAUUGUCAGAGGUGAAAUUCUUGGAUUUAUUGAAGACUAACUACUGCGAAAGCAUUUGCCAAGGAUGUUUUCAUUAAUCAAGAACGAAAGUUAGGGGAUCGAAGACGAUCAGAUACCGUCGUAGUCUUAACCAUAAACUAUGCCGACCAGGGAUCGGACGAUGUUAACUUUUUAAUGACUCGUUCGGCGCCUUACGGGAAAC